UACGUAGGCAGCAAGCGUUGUUCGGAAUUACUGGGCGUAAAGAGUGUGUAGGCGGUGCUCUAAGUUUGGUGUGAAAUCUCCCGGCUCAACUGGGAGGGUGCGCCGAAAACUGGAAUGCUUGAACAUGGGAGAGGAAAGCGGAAUUCCUGGUGUAGUGGUGAAAUGCGUAGAUAUCAGGAGGAACACCUGCGGUGUAGACGGCUUUCUGGACCAUUGUUGACGCUGAGACACGAAAGCGUGGGUAGCAAACAGG
rnacentral:rRNA from 1 species